rnacentral:rRNA from 1 species
UGGGGAAUAUUGCACAAUGGGCGCAAGCCUGAUGCAGCCAUGCCGCGUGUAUGAAGAAGGCCUUCGGGUUGUAAAGUACUUUCAGCGGGGAGGAAGGGAGUAAAGUUAAUACCUUUGCUCAUUGACGUUACCCGCAGAAGAAGCACCGGCUAACUCCGUGCCAGCAGCCGCGGUAAUACGGAGGGUGCAAGCGUUAAUCGGAAUUACUGGGCGUAAAGCGGACGCAGGCGGUUUGUUAAGUCAGAUGUGAAAUCCCCGGGCUAAACCUGGGAACUGGAUGGGAGACUGGCAAGAUUGAGUCUCGUAGAGGGGGGUAGAAUUCCAGGUGUAGCGGUGAAAUGCGUAGAGAUCUGGAGGAAUACCGGUGGCGAAGGCGGCCCCCUGGACGAAGACUGACGCUAAGGUGCGAAAGCGUGGGGAGCAAACAGG